GGAAACUGGAUGUUCUCCUAAAACAGCCACCUAGCCAAGCUGAACCAACAGAGAUGUAUUGAUCACCGGGUCAAUGGAACUAGGUGGGUGCUGGGGGGAAAGUCAGCAGGUAAGUCAGGUGAGGACUGCCUCCCUUCCACUCCCCACCCAGAGACUGAAGACAGACAGACAGACAGAGGCGUUCAUUCAGAAAGAAGUAGGAGGGCUUCAGGGAUUCAGCGGAGGAGACUGAAAGCCUGAGAGACGAUGCCUCUGAGAAGGUUACAGACCUUGGGAGAAAGCGCUUUCACCUCCUCACCACAGACACUCUCGACUGUGGACUCAGGACACUAAGCCAGAAAGGUGACGAUUUCCUUCUUGAACCCGGCCUGCAUCAGCAGCUCAGACGUCGGUCCUUAUAUUUGCUUUAGGAACCUGACAAGACUGACUAGCCAUCUCUAGCAUUCAGAUAGGUGGAACUUCAUUGUGCUGAAGUUAUGUUUGAGCACCCUCUGCUGGACAAAUCAGGUAAGUACAGGAUUUUUUUUUUUUUUUUUGGUCUUGUGCCUUUUAAAUUCAUGCUCCGAAGAAGAGAAGAUUUUUAUCUCGAAUCUACACUAAAAGAAGUCUCCUCUUUAAACAGAUGCUCUAUGACUACCAACAAUGUACCAGUGGUAUUCGUCUCUUGCAGAUCUGGAAGAAAAUGAAAUUUAGGUACAUACAGUCACGAACAGAUACCUAGAUGACACAUUUAAAACCCUCAAACACAGUGGAGAUGAGACCAGCAUAAUAUUAAGCUCUUCUCCCUCACAAACACCUGUGCUACCCACACUCACAGGCAAAAAAAAUAUACACAACUGCCAGACUGCAAUGCCUCCCAAUUUAUUGGCCAAAUCUAGAUUCUGCUAGCCCUGUAUAUUCACUCAGAAAGCCAGGCUUCAGACACACCAUGAGUGAUGAGAAAUCCAUUUCAUCAGCAGAGGCAUCUUGCCUAUCUUCAGGAAGCCUACAGACUUCCAGAUGUGAGCGAGCAGUCUCCUUCCUGCUGCUGCAGCUGCAAGCUGCUCCUGCCGCCCAUGCCUUCUCUACUGCCAUGCCUUCCCUACCACAAGGGCCAGAACUCUCACACUGAAAGCCAGAAUAAAUCCUUCCUCUCUUCGGUUGGUUGUUGUCAGGUAAUUGAGAAGGCAGCAGCUGGCAUCAAUGGUGUGGUGAGGAGAGAAUCAAGUUUCCUUCUCCAGUUCAAACAGACGAAAGUGAAGCGACAUAGGCUCAAGGACAGGGUCACUGGGCUAGCGCCACACCAUGGAGCCAAACCCCGAGCCUUCUAAAUUGUGAGCUGGGCAUGGUGGUUCACCCCAGGAAUCGCAGCACUGAGGGAUGAAGGCGAGAGAGUCACUGUGGGUGUGACAUCAGUCUGGCCUGAAGUCUGAGACUGUUUUUUUAAAAAGAAAACAUUUUUUUAUGUCAUAUAUUUAAUUAUAUAAAGAUUCUGUUGUUUUGUUGUUGUUGUUGUUAAAAUUCAGCCAGGAAAUUUCCAUCUGUCUGGUGUUAAUUGGUUGUUUUUCAGCACUAAUUGGGAAAUGAUAUAUUUUUAUUGUUUUAUAAAUAGAGUAAAACCCCUCAGAAACUGCUGGGGAAAUUUAAACAAGGAAAGCAAUUCUAUGUCCUUGCUUGACACCAGUUUGUCCCAGAGGUGACACAACUGUGUAGUUUUUGAAAACACUGGGCA
rnacentral:lncRNA from 1 species